GCCAAUAUGGUGUAGUGGUCUGAGCAUAAGACUAGGACUCUGGGGAUCAGGAUUCAAUUCCCUGCUUGGCCA